AAUCAGCGACUGAAGCUUUGCACAGCCCUAGUAGAUGUGCUCAUCUAGGGCGGGGACAGAAGCAUUUUGCAGUGAGGGGUUGCUUUAAUGCAGCUAAACUGUGAACAUAGCCUGCGUCCAACCCAGCCUGCACUGCCACAGUUGCAGCCACAACUGCAGUUACUGCUCCCCACUGCAGUCCUGC